rnacentral:rRNA from 1 species
GCCAGACUCCUACGGGAGGCAGCAGUGAGGAAUAUUGGUCAAUGGACGGAAGUCUGAACCAGCCAUGCCGCGUGCAGGAAGACGGCUCUAUGAGUUGUAAACUGCUUUUGUACAAGGGUAAACCUGAAUACGUGUAUUCAGCUGAAAGUACUGUACGAAUAAGGAUCGGCUAACUCCGUGCCAGCAGCCGCGGUAAUACGGAGGAUGCGAGCGUUAUCCGGAUUUAUUGGGUUUAAAGGGUGCGCAGGCGGUCUGUUAAGUCAGCGGUCAAAGCCCGGGGCUCAACCCCGGUCCGCCGUUGAAACUGGCAGUCUCGAGUUGGAGAGAAGUAUGCGGAAUGCGCGGUGUAGCGGUGAAAUGCAUAGAUAUCGCGCAGAACUCCGAUUGCGAAGGCAGCGCACCGGCGCCCUACUGACGCUCAGGCACGAAAGCGUGGGUAUCGAACAGGAUUAGAUACCCGCGUAC